rnacentral:rRNA from 1 species
AAUGAACGUUGGCGGCGUGGAUUAGGCAUGCAAGUCGUGCGGAAAGGCCCCGCAAGGGGUACUCGAGCGGCGAAAGGGAUAGUAACACGUAGGUACCUACCUCUGGGACGGGGAUAGCCGGGGGAAACUCCGAUUAAUACCCGAUAACAUCUUCGGAUCAAAGGUGUAAUUCCGCCUGGAGACGGGCCUGCGUCCUAUCAGCUAGUUGGUGAGGUAACGGCUCACCAAGGCUAGGACGGGUAGCGGGUGUGAGAGCACGACCCGCAUCACUGGGACUGAGACACUGCCCAGACACCUACGGGUGGCUGCAGUCGAGAAUCCUCGUCAAUGGGCGAAAGCCUGAACGAGCGACGCCGCGUGCGGGAUGAAGGCCUGCGGGUUGUAAACCGCUGUCAGUGGGAAUGAAAUGCCAGGGGGCUCACCCCCUGGUUUGACAGACCCGCAGAGGAAGGACGGGCUAAGUUCGUGCCAGCCGCCGCGGUAAAAC